UACGUAGGCGGAAUAAUAAGUCAGUGGUGAAAUCCUGCGGCUCAACCGUAGAACUGCCAUUGAAACUGUUAUUCUUGAAUGUAGUUGAGGUAGGCGGAAUGUGUAAUGUAGCGGUGAAAUGCUUAGAUAUUACACAGAACACCGAUUGCGAAGGCAGCUUACUAAACUAUGAUUGACGCUGAUGUACGAAAGCGUGGGGAGCGAACAGGAUUAGAUACCCUGGUAGUCC
rnacentral:rRNA from 1 species